CCUAAGGAUGCUUAGACGAGACAUCUCCAGAUAGCCUUGUGAUAUGGGGGCGUCGUGAUCUGUUCUCAGAGAUGAGAGAUGCGAAAUGGGGCAUGGCGGCCAGGAGGAGCAACCGAAGGAGCGGUGGCUGAGCAGGCACAGGAGGGCCUAGAGGAGCUAUCCCAUGCUGAAGGUCAGGAACGGUGGCGGUAAGGAGAUACCCCUCGUCCAAGGUAAGGAGCAGUGGCUGUGCUUUGCUGGAGCAGCCGUGAAGAGAUACCCCACGCCCAAGCAACUCUGAGAACUACACUUGAGACUGUGAUUCCGCUGUCAGCAGUGACAUUCACUUCUCAUUUUCUCUUCUGAUGAAUGACGGGAGCCAGCGUCAGCCGACAAUGAGAAGAAUCACUAAAUACAGUCAACAUGGAAUUCAGUUAAUGAAGAGGGCAAUCGCUUCUGUUCUGUAUAUGAUCAUAAUAUCUUCUGGCUAUAGGUUACCUGUAAUAAGAAAUAGUAGAAAGAGAAGAAACGGAAGAAGGGUGGGAGAAAAGAAAGUGAGGAGAGGAGGAGAGAAAAGCAGAGAGGAUACGACAGGGGAAGAUAAGUUUCUGUCAGUCUCUGUGAAGAGUAGAGUACCUCUGCUGACCUGUGAUGGAAAAGUAGCAGGUAUACAGGAGGCGGUCCUAAGAUGGUGGAGGAAUAGGAUGGGAAGACCACUUUCUCCCUCACAAAUUCCUCAAAAGAACAUUUCAACGCUGAGCAAACUCCACAAAACAACUUCUGAAUGCUGGCAGAGGACAUCAGGCAACCAGAAAAGCAGACCAUUGUCUUCAAAAACAGGGGUCUGUAUGUAGAAGCGGAGCACAGAGUUGUUGUUUUCCUUGCUGCCUCUUGCCAUUGUUCUAUGUCGACCCCAUCUCUUACAUUUGUGAAGAUCUACAGCUGUCCCUAUCCCGUGCCAGUGUGCCUUCUUUCAUAGUUGUGAACUCUGACUCCUCAAGCAUGUACCACAUAAUAAAAGAAGGAAGGCUUACCCGUGUGUGUUGUUGUUAGUCGCUCAGUCAGGUACCCUUUGAGACCCUAUGGAUGGUGGCGUGCCAGCCUCCUCUGUCCGUGGAAUUCUCUAGGCAAGAACACUGGAGUGGGUAGCCGUUCCCUUCUCCAGGGGAUCUUCCUGACCUUGAGCCAUUAGGGAAGCCCCUGCUUACCUGUGUAAAUGACCACUUUUGGUACAUCUAGAAAGAGUAUUUCUAGCAUAAACUUUUCUAAAAUAACUCUUCACCGUGUCUUGAUUCUUGUGACUUCUCGUGGAGAAAGGCAUUCAUGGCUGCCUUGCAACCGUGUAACCAGAAGACAGUGAGUGUUCAGAGGUUCAUUUCUGUUUUGUCUAUUUGCAUAACAUGUACUAUCCAAAUAGUAUCCUGCUUUGAUAGUGAAAAAAAAAUCAAUUAUCUUUAGCACAUGGCAGGUUAUCCUAAAGGAA
ensembl:lncRNA